GGGCGCCGCUCGUUGGUCACUGGAAAGUUGGCUUCGGUGAGAAGGCACCAAAAGAUAUUUGCUACCAAACAAGAAAGUAGAGGGCCCAUUUAGCCUUUCUUCUGCUUUUGGUGUUGCUAAAAGGAAACAGGAACAUCACCAUGGAGCACAUGUGAUUGGGGUUUUGGCUGGAAGAAUUAGGGUGGAUCAACAGUGGCCUGGGUAUAACAAGGGCCAUUUAACCAUCGUGGACUUGAAGAAUUCGAAAGAAGUUUGUAAAUCUCUUCCAAGGGUUUAUACUCUUAGCUCCCUGUAUUGUGGUGUACGAUGGCAUUGACAGCACUUACAACUGUGUCUAUUGGAUCAGUUUGUGCUCAACCUAGGUUGGGAGCAAGGCCCAAGGCCUCUGGCUUUGGUUUUACUUGCUCAAAGUCCUUCAAUGUUUUCAGUGGCCUGAAGGCAGCAUCCUCAGUUGGCAUUGAAGCAGAUACAUCCUUUUUGGGCAAGGAGGACAAUGCUUCUCUCCAGGCAUCUUUUGUUCCAAAGAUUAAACCAAAACAAGUUUUUCUAAAUCAACUCCACCCCCAUGCAUCCUCGUUUAAGGUGGCUGUCCUUGGGGCUGCUGGUGGGAUUGGCCAACCUCUAGGACUUCUGAUUAAGAUGUCUCCUCUGGUCUCAGCAUUGCAUCUUUAUGAUAUUGCGAAUGUUAAAGGAGUAGCUGCAGAUCUCAGCCAUUGCAAUAGCCCUGCUCAAGUUUUGGAUUUCACUGGACAAUCAGAAUUAGGCAAAUGUCUGAAAGGAGUUGAUGUUGUUGUCAUUCCCGCAGGAGUCCCACGGAAGCCAGGCAUGACACGGGAUGAUUUAUUCAACAUCAAUGCUGGCAUUGUAAAGACGCUGAUUGAGGCUGUUGCAGACAAUUGUCCUGAUGCCUUCAUCCACAUCAUCAGCAACCCAGUAAACUCCACUGUUCCCAUAGCUGCAGAGGUACUCAAGCAAAAGGGAGUCUAUGAUCCUAAGAAGCUUUUUGGUGUGACCACCCUUGAUGUUGUUAGAGCUAACACUUUUGUUGCUCAAAAGAAGAACCUAAAGCUUGUCGACGUGGAUGUACCAGUUGUAGGGGGUCAUGCUGGCAUUACUAUUUUACCAUUGUUGUCGAAGACAAGGCCAUCAACAACAUUUACCGAUGAUGAGGUUGAAGAGCUGACUCUAAGAAUACAGAAUGCUGGCACAGAGGUUGUCGAGGCAAAAGCCGGUGCUGGAUCCGCAACCCUGUCCAUGGCCUAUGCAGCAGCACGGUUUGUUGAAGCGUCACUUCAUGCUCUCGACGGCGACGGGGAUGUUUAUGAGUGCUCCUUUGUAGAGUCUGAUCUAACUGAGCUGCCUUUCUUUGCAUCAGGAGUCAAGAUCGGAAAGAAAGGUAUAGAAGCCAUUGUAUCUUCUGAUCUCCAGGGUCUGACAGAGUAUGAGACCAAGGCACUGGAAGCAUUAAAGCCGGAGUUGCAGGCUAGCAUUGAGAAGGGCAUGGCAUUUGUUCACAAGCAGGCGGUAAAUGCUGAAUCUGCUUAAGUUUUGAUAUUGUUUCUUUUUUUUUCUUUUAUCAGUAGUCUUGCAAGAACAGAAUAAAAACAGGGAUGGUCAAGGCCGUCCAGUUUGAUGCUAAAGCAGGUUUCCAUGUUCUAAGCUCGAGAAGUUAUGCCCUUGAGGAGAUUCGAGAGAAGUUAAGCUGUUUUCAGCUAUAUUAGAGGGAAGAGAGAACUGAGCAAUGACCCCGAGGAAGGACGGUUCUUUCGGCAACUGCAUUGGGGAACGGAACGGAAUAGACGAAGGAAGCGCCGGCAUCUCAGAAGGACGGGAACUCGAUCUCGGAACCACACCUCUUCCGUGGAAGCACCGGGCACUCGAUGAGUUUCGCCGCCGAAGUGUCGACGCACAGGUAAACCUGAUACAGCUGGCUGUUCCCCCCCUCGUCGUUGUUGCACUCGAUCCACGGGGUGUAACCGAUCGCGUCGCUGAUGGCGCUCACGACGCUCUUCAAGCUGUAAUCGCCACCAUCGGGCUGAAUCCCUGCAGCAGCAGCUUCCAUCUCAGACGACCACCACAAGGCUUCGCUUGAGAGCUGCUUGGAAGUAGCCGUGCUGGUCGAGGACGGACUCGGAGCAGGUGCCGUGCUUCUCCCACUCGUGGGUCCAGAACUGGGUGCCGUCGCUGCUUGGGCACGCUAGGGUCGGCCACUUCUGUCGCAUGGUACUCAACAGGUCCCUCACCUGCAACCAAAGCAACAAGACGGCUCCAUAGGAUGCCACCAUUGCACGAACAAAAAACACAAAAA